AUUCAUUGCUGACUUAGAUCUUUGAUUGUGUCUGAAGACAAUUCUCUCCAGUCAAUCAUCACACCUCAUCUCACAUGUACUACUUGUUUGCGCUGGAUUCGGCAUGUUGUUUCUUUUACAGUGACAAGAUUUUCAAGUUUCUGCACUAAAAACUAUAUUCACAGAUUCACUUCAUUGUUGUUUCACACUUGUUCCAGCUAGUUAGAGCAUGUUAGUCCUGGUGGACUGGCUUGGUGGAGGACAGGCUGAUUACUUUGGGGCCCUUUCCAACAUUUGAAGGAUACAAAAGAAACAAAAAGUAAAAAAUAGAGCCAAGUGUGACAAGUUAAAAGUGUUAUAUUCUCAUCUGCUACAAGUUAAAAACAGACUGUGUCAAGUAAAACGUAUAAUACAAAUGAUUUGUUAACAUUUUAAAAUGUUUAAAAUGACAAUCAGUUCAUGGUCUGUAAUAUCAUAAAAAUGCUUAAAAGGAUUAAAAAAAAAACUCAUAGAAAUGCUGAUAUCAUUAAAAAGAUCAGUCACAAGAAAGAGGUCAUAAGGUGUUAAAACGAUUUAAAAACAGUAAAAACAUGUUAAAAAGCUAAAAAGUAUGUUUUUUAUUUUAUUUCAGUGUUUAUCUGUGACGCUAAAUUAGUCUUAAUCUGAACGGUUCUGGGAUCAACUGUUUGUGUUUCACAUUCCUCGGAGAGGAGGGAACUUCCUCACUUGAGUUACAGUAUUAUAGGAAAUACUGCAUCGCUCUUGUGAUUAUCUGACAGCUUGAAAUACGCCUGUCAGAAUGCGUUCCCCCUCUGUUUAUCAUGAAGGGAUGCUCACACAUCUUUCAAAUUCAUACUGCUGACUUCUUUCACCACCACAGAUAAGUCCUGUGAUUUACAGGCUGAUAUCAUCAUAUUUGACCAUUUUAAACACUUUUUGGCACGACCGUUCGGGCCAUUUCGGACGGGGGCGGGACCAGGGGGAAACACAUCUCGACGGGGGAACUGAUCUCGAUACAACACAUGGUCCUGACGCUCUGACAGAUAAACAAAACGAACGACAAUGACGGACCCGGUGAACUUGUUUACAAUCACUUCUUUCUUCACUGAGGUACCAGAGAGAGUGAAAAAAGGGUUAAACUCAUUUAAUUCCAACAGAGUGGUCAGUGUGGCUGUUCCGCCUGGUGGAAUAAUAAAGGGUAGCGUCCAGGCAUCACAGAAAAAGAGAGUUUACGAGGUUGAGGUGAGUUAUAAAUUAGCCGUAAGCUAUCUAGUUAGUUGACAUCUAAAGAUGAUAACGUUAUGCUAAAAAACGGAUAGGACUGCUACAACUUUUGAUGUAAACGAAGAUGAAAAACUUAAUAUGUCAGUAACGUUAUAGGUCCCUAUAUCAGCUAUGUUUUGGAGUGUUAGUGAAGUUAAGCAAGUUGAAAUAUAAUGAUGUGCCAGCCCCCGGCUAGCAACAGAAAUAUUGUUAGGCUAAGAUGUGUUAGGGUGAGAGAGUUGAAAUGUUUUCAAUGUAACGUCAGGUUCAUGUUGAGGGACAGGCAGUAAAAUACAGCAGUCAGUACCCAAUCGGCCGAGACAAGUGCCACCAUAUGGCAGCUCUGCUGAUCUGGACAGAAAAAAAUGUGUCCCGCACCGAUGUCGAGUGUGUGUGGAAGAGGGCGAAGAUGCCGAAGACGGAAAUCACAGCUAAGCGAGUGUCUGUGAUGGCACCAUCCACAACACAAGCUGGAAUAAAAAGAUCUGUCACCCAGGAGGACAAGGACUGGACAAGGACAAUGACUGGAGGACAAGGCAUGUGACUGGGGAAUCCACCAUGAGGCAAGGGCUAAGCAACAAUUCACGGAUUGCACAGGUGUUGUCAUCCAGGAGAGGGGAUUGUUCUUGUCUCACAGCGGCCUACUCGGUGGUUCUCCAGAAGGGACAGUAUCUGAUGACUGCAUCAUUGAGGUGAAAUGUCCGUGGUCAGCCAGAGCCAAGACCAUCCUACAAGCAGCAGAGAGUAGGGACUUCUUCUUGGAGUUGGAUGAAGAAACUGGUACCCUGGCACUAAAACAACUCCAUAACUACUGGCAUCAGAUCCAGGGCAACCUACAACUGACUGGAGCUAACAGUUGUCACCUCAUUGUAUGGACUCCUCUUGACCUUGUCAUCCUGCCAGUGCUCAAAGAUCCGACGUGGGCUCUUAACAUUGACAUUCUGGAAACAUUUUAUAAAGAGUGUUUCCUUCCAAACAUUGUGUCACAGUUGUAAAUUAAAAACAAAAAGGAGGAGAGGCCAGCAACACUUGGGGCCAAAUCCACAAAAGGAUUGCGCGGCUUUUGCGGCCGCUAAACCGUUGCAAAUGAGACAAAAAGAGAGCGUCUAAUUCACAAAGCACCCGCAAAAGGCGAAUUGCUCCACAAACUGCGCUGCCAAGCAAAUAGUGGCAGUCUGCGCCAGUGCCAUUUGCAUGCAUGCAAAUUAGGUAAUAUUCAUACAUUCGGCGCAAAAUUGCCCCCUUUCUAUGCAAAUAAGCCUCAUUGCAAAAAGCGCCUAAUUCAGAAAGGCCAGCGCUAUUUGCCACACGCAAAAAUAGUGGAGCAAAUACCGCCUUUCAGAAGCGUGUAUUAAACUGCGCGCAAACUCAGCUCAUAAAAGUAACAGGACGGAGUUCAAGAUUCAUCCAUACAUAAGGGGCUGCUUUAUUACAAACAAUUCCACCAUAUAAACAUAUAAAUCUAGAAUGUGUGUGUUUAACAGCUGACCUGUAGGUGUGUGUAGCAAAACAAAGAACAUGAAUUACCAUCAGAUCCUGAUCUGAUCCCGAUCCGGUGUUAAUGAAGUUACUGGUGCUGUGCCUUGUGCGUAAAUGCGCACAGCCUCUUAACAUUUGACAUUUCAUUAGCUUAUGUCAUACAGACACUGAGGUCUGUUGAUGUGUGUGUGGAGAUGAUGGCUAUGUUCUACCACACGAUGGUGGCCAGUGCACUCUUUUUUGCUGCUGUGUGUUGGGGGGGCAGCCUUGCAAUCAAAAACACCAGGCGACUGAACAAACUGGUCAAAAAAGCGGGCUCAGUGUUGGGCAGGAGUCUGGACCCGCUAAGAUCUGUGGUGGAGAGGGGCACACUGGAGAAGCAGGAGCAGCUGCAGCGGCCGGAUCCGCAGCCUCCGCUCACUGCGCUGCAGAACGAGCGGUUCAGGAGAUCCUUGCGUCCUCGCAGCAAUAAGACUGUUUAAGUCGUCCUGAACUCAGUUUCACACACUCACCUCUGCCACAACUGGACUAUAUUUUAGUUUGCACUUUACAUCUAUCUAUCUAUCUAUCUAUCUAUCUAUCUAUCUAUCUAUCUAUCUAUCUAUCUAUCUAUCUAUCUAUCUAUCUAUCUAUCUAUCUAUCUAUCUAUCUAUCUAUCUAUCUAUCUAUCUAUCUAUCUAUCUAUCUAUCUAUCUAUCUGCAUGCGAAAUACUAGUACAAAUACGUGAAAGUUGAGGCUGUUGUGCUCUCUGCAGUUUUCAUUAUGGACCAAUCUGUGCAAAUUGCACUCAGCCGCAAAACUUUAUGGGCGUGUUUGCUCCGGUAUAUCAUUAGAGCAAAAUCUUUUGUGAAUAGGACCUUAAAGGGGACCUAUUAUGAAAAACACGUUUUUUCUUGUUUUAACAUAUAUAAAGUGGUCUCCCCUCACCCUUCCAGCACAGGGGAGACAAAAUACCAUGAAUUUCUGCAAGCUCUCUGACCCCCGCCAGACAGAGUCCCCCAGUGUCACGUGACCUUUUUUUGAGCCAUUCUGAAUCUGCGCCUAUGGUGACGUCACCAUAGGCGCUCAUUUCCAUAGGUUCAGCCUCUGCUGCUGAAACCACGCCCACAACCAGCUCUCUGCCCCGCUGGAGCGGUCCUUCCUUCAGCCAGUUGGACGCGGCGCAGCGGAUCCGGGUUAAAUCAUCCAGGUUCCCGGGUGGUUUGGGAGCUGGGUCCUCGUGGGUCUGUCCCAGGUCGGACCAGCUUCAUCCUCCGAGAUUUUCAGUGAAAUCUGUUGGUUUGAUCCCCGAUAACGGGCGAUGCGCCGCGGAUGCGCUCCGGAGCGAUCUGUGCGCCCCUCGUGGGGUUGCAGCGCCCGUCGCGCAGCAUCCGCCGGGCAGAUCCGGCUGAAAUUCCGCUGGUCGGUCCCCGGGAGUCCCUGCUACCAGUCCAGGCCGGUUCCUGCGGUCCCGGCCGGUCGGAACCGGUCGGAACCGGUCAGAUUCCCCCGUUAAAGCCGCGGUGAUGUGCGAUGCGCCCCAGAGCCACGCCGGGCGCCCAGCGUUCAGCAUCCGCCGGGUAGAUCCGGCUUAAAUAGUGCAUAAAUGUUAUUUAUAUACAACUCAUAUUUUAUUUUUUUAACAAUAAAGUUUCCAUUUGUGAAAAUUCAGUGUUGUGAUAAUUUACAGGCUCGGGCUGCUCUGGCGGAGCGAGGUUUAUUCUCCUCCCCUGCUACACGUCAUUCAGGGAGCCAAUCAGCACAGAGCCUCAUUAUCAUACCCCCCCCUUCCCUUAGAAUGGAGCACAGAAAAAGAGGUUAGAAGCGGUAAAACUAGUGACAGGGCCCACAGGCUGGAUUUAUGAUUUAUGUAGAAAAAACAAGCUUUAGAUUGUUUUUAAGACAUUCAAGGCCUGUUUAAAAUAUACAUUAAAUGCCAUAAUAGGUCACCUUUAAAGCGGGGCAAAUUGCGGGCGCUAAUGCAGCGCAAUUCACAGCGCUAUUUGCGGGCGCAAUCUAUUCUUUGUGGAUUUACCCCAAAGUGUUGCUGGCCUCUCCUCCUUUUGUUCUAAGUACAUGUUUUACUUAAGUACAGUUCUGAGGUACUUGUAUUUUACUUGAGUAUUUCCGCUUUGUCCUACUUUUUACUUCCACUCCACUACAUUUCUGGUAAAUAUUUUAAACAUUUUUUCUGGUAAAUAUUGUACCUUCUACUCCACUACAUUUAUUUAACAUCUUUACUUUUCAGAUGAAGAUUUGACGAUGUUAAUGUCUGCACUUGAACAUACCCUACAUUCAUGAUCUGUAAAUACUAAUGUCCUUAUCAGUUUACGCUGUUAUAAUAAAUUAAGU